GUAAGAACAUGGUGAAAAUAUUUACUACAUUGGAAAUUCUUGUCAAACUAGUAAUGAUUCAAAUUUCGAUUUAGAUAAUUCACCAUGAAUAAUCGAAGUAGACGACAAGACGAGAUGAAAUGGAAAUAGUUAUAUUCUUUACAAACUAAACAGAAUUCACUAUCCUAAACUAUACAAGUAGAGCUAAUUCGACUUGCGUUAUAGACAAGGAAUCUGUUCUGUUUUACUCAUAUGCUGCAAUAUAGAUUUAGCUUUUCGUUGUCCUCUAUCCGUCCCACUCUCACCAAUCUCUACUAAAUACUCGUAGACACCAUACUGAAGUGCCGCGAGCAGAUGAUUUGAAUUGUGUAUGCUUAACCUAUGUAGGACCGCCACUGAACAUUCCUUGUUCUUUGGCGUCCCAUCUCUCAUCAGAUUAACGAGUGUUUCAAUGAACGUAAGUUUUCCCAUUUCUUGCCUUCCGUCUUGAUGUGUUGCAAGAAGUAACAAUAGAGACAACGCCUCGUCAACCAUCUCUGAGUUUUUCUUCUCGAGUAGCUGAAACAACGAUGCUACAAUCCCAGCUUCGUUUGCCAAACGAACGUUCUGCUCAUUUAAACAAAGGUUGAAUAAUGCAGUGAUUGCAUCCUUCUUACCUCUUAUUGUACCGUUUUUCAACAAUUCUAUCAACGGUGGGAUACCGUUUAACGAGCCUAUAGCUUCUUUGUUUUCAUCCAGCAUAGAUAAACUAAACAAUGCUGCUGCAGAGUUCUCUUUAGCACCAACAUUUCCAUUCUGCAAUAUCUCAAUUAUAGCUAAAAUAGGUUCUUCUUUCGAUAUAAGAUUUUUGUUUGUUUCAUCAAUCGAUAAGUUCAAAAGAGCCGUCACAGCAUGUUCCUGAAUUCUAGAAUCUGGAUACGAUAGUAGAUGCACGAGUGGUGGGAUUCCUCCGCGAUUCACUAUUAAUGUCCUAUUCUCAGGAUUUUCUUUCGAAAGCAUCCUGAUCUCUUUCACAGCCUUUCUCUGCACUUCUAAAUGACUAGACGAUAAAUCUUGAAUCAACGACAAAACUCGUUCAUCACUUUCAUCCGAGGGGCUCUCGGGUUUUGGAGAUUCUUGCUUUCGAGGAAGCUGAAAAUUGUUCUUUUCACACCAUUGUUGGAUCAAAUUCUUCAGAGCAAAGUUUGGGGCUAAUGACAAGUGCUCCAAAAUUUCCCCCGUUUUCGGACAUGUUUGGCAACCGGAAUCCAACAAAUGUUGAAUGUUCUCUCUUUCAUAUGUCUACAAAUAGAUGCAAAGUGGAAAGGAAAAUCAGUCAUACAAAGCAAAUCGAACGAGUGAAUGAUCAAAAACCACCACAAGUAUUCAGUUUUUUUUCGAGUUUUCAUACCUGAACUAUCAUGUAUUCACUAUUCCUACCUAGACUAUCAUCACCUAUUUAUCGCAAAACACACCUCAGCUUAUAGUUGAGGUGUGUUAUUCGAUAAACAUUUGCUGAUACUUCAGGUAAGAAACUCACGCAUGUAAUAGUUUAGGUGUGAAACUCAAAAAAACAAAAUACUUUAGGUAUAUUUUUGACCCUUCACUCUAUGAAAAUCGAUCAUUCUUCAUAUAAGGUAUGGUAGCUCGAAGAGAAAUAAACUUAUCGUAGAGGAAGUGAACUCACCUGGCCGGUUGAGACAGUAACAGGAUCGGUCAUAGUCUCUAAUGUGAUCGGACAGAGGAACUCAUUUGGAAUUGCCAAAGAAGUGGAUUUCUCAUGAACUUUAAUCAUCAACGGUUCAAUUUCUUCGAGUCCUGCAAAACUUCUGAAUUUGUUUAGAAGACCUACUAUCUUUUGCGUCUCUUCUGCAUGACGACCUUUUCUUUCUUUAA